rnacentral:rRNA from 1 species
GGGAUGAUAAUGACAGUACCUAGGUAAACGAAACCCCCGGCUAACUCCGUGCCAGCACGCCGACGGUAAGUACGGGUAGGGGGUUAGUCGUUGGUUACGGAAUUACGUGGGACGUAAAGCGCGCGUAGGCGGACAGAAGUUGGGGUGAAAUCCCCGGGCUCAACCCGGAACUGCCUCCAAAACUCCUGGUCUUGAGUUCGAGAGAGGUGAGUGGAAUUCCGAGUGUAGAGGUGAAAUUCGUAGAUAUUCGGAGGAACACCAGUGGCGAAGGCGGCUCACUGGCUCGAUACUGACGCUGAGGUGACGAAAGUGUGGGGAGCAAACAGGAUUAGAUACCCUGGUAG